AGCCGAACGGUAAGUUGGGUAGCAAUAUCCAGCCAAGAGUGGCGUAAGGGUGCGUAACACGUAUGCAAUCUGCCCGUAACAGGAGGAUAGCUCCCCGAAAGGGGAAUUAAUACUUCAUAAAAUAGUGAUGCGGCAUCGCAUGACUAUUAAAGCUGAGGCGGUUACGGAUGAGCAUGCGGCUGAUUAGCUAGUUGGUGAGGUAACGGCUCACCAAGGCGAUGAUCAGUAGGGGAACUGAGAGGUUGAUCCCCCACACUGGCACCGAGAUACGGGCCAGACUCCUACGGGAGGCAGCAGUAGGGAAUAUUGGACAAUGGGUGAGAGCCUGAUCCAGCCAUGCCGCGUGCAGGAAGACGGCCUUCUGGGUUGUAAACUGCUUUUAUCUGGGGAUAAAAAGGCCUUGCGAGGCAAACUGAAGGUACCAGAUGAAUAAGCCACGGCUAACUACGUGCCAGCAGCCGCGGUAAUACGUAGGUGGCGAGCGUUGUCCGGAUUCAUUG
rnacentral:rRNA from 1 species